rnacentral:miRNA from 1 species
GACCCUGUCCGCCCCUUCCCAGG